CCUGCAGCGCGCCCUCACCUGCCAGCUCCUGUCUCUCCAGGCUCCGGUGAGCAAGUGCGACCGGAGCGCGGAGCUCACCUGCUCCAACUUCCUCCUGCUGGAACCGGAGAGGUGCGGCGCCGGGGCCACGCAGCCGGAGCCCCCAGAGGUUCUCAGCACGCCGAGGCAAAGCUCCCUCUCACCCCCCACCCCCAGCUGCCCCGACCUGUCACUUGUUCCCGGAGAGCUGCCCGAGCCGGCUGGGGAAGUGCGGCCAAAACCAAACUUGGCUGCCGCUGCUCGUCCCGCCGGUCUCCCGCGGCCCCUUGCUCACCUGCUGGCUCUGUUUUCUCCUGCCCCGCUGCAAGCCCGGAGAACCCGCUCGCGCCCCAGUCAGCCGCCGACUGCGCAGCGCUGGGCUCGGCGACUCUGCGGUCCCCCCUCUCCCGGCAGCGGUCGGGGAACUCAACGGCCUCGCCAGGCCCCGCCCCCAGAGGCCCCGCCCCGGACACGCCCCCUCGGCGGCCUCCCUACGCGAGCCCGCCAGCCCCGCCCCCCCGGACGGGCCCGGGUCCGCCUACCGUGGACUCUACCCUGUCCAGUCCCGCCCCGGGGCCCCGCUGGCGGGGAGGCCAUGCCCCCUUCCCGCUCGGCCUCAGCCUCCUCGUCGACGCCGUCCAGGUCGCGCUGCGGCCGAGGCCCGCCCCCGGGCCCGCCUCCUCGGCCCAGUGCCCAGCACCCCUGCCGGCCCGUCCCCGAGCUCUGCCCACUCGGAGCCCCCCACCCCACGGCCCGCCCCUCCCCGGCCCCGCUCGUCCUCCCCGACCCCUCCCACCUGCCAGUCUAGCCGGCUGCGCCCGCCCGCCUCUGACCCUCGCGGGUGGGAACCGCCCCGCACACUCUCCUGGCCCGGAUCUCGGCGCCUUCCCAGCCCUGUUCGGGCCCCGCGGCCCCAGCUCGGGACGGGCGGGCCUAGGCCCCCACGUUGGCAUGCUAGGGCGGUGCAUCCGGGUGCAACCGGGAAGCGGCGUGGGAGCGGUUCGUGUUCCAAGUCGAGGCCUCUAUCAGGAGGCGGCCAGGCGCUCUCUGAGAAUACUGACAGCUGCCACUGAUUGA
rnacentral:lncRNA from 1 species